rnacentral:rRNA from 1 species
UACGGAGGGGGCUAGCGUUGUUCGGAAUUACUGGGCGUAAAGCGCACGUAGGCGGACCAGCAAGUUGGGGGUGAAAUCCCGGGGCUCAACCCCGGAACUGCCUUCAAAACUGCGGGUCUGGAGGUCGAGAGAGGUGAGUGGAAUUCCGAGUGUAGAGGUGAAAUUCGUAGAUAUUCGGAGGAACACCAGCGGCGAAGGCGGGUAGCUGGGCCAACACUGACGCUGAGGAGCGAAAGCGUGGGGAGCAAACAGG